rnacentral:rRNA from 1 species
UACGGAAGGCAGCAGUGGGGAAUAUUGCACAAUGGGCGCAAGCCUGAUGCAGCCAUGCCGCGUGUAUGAAGAAGGCCUUCGGGUUGUAAAGUACUUUCAGUCGUGAGGAAGGUGUUAAGGUUAAUAACCUUAGCAAUUGACGUUAGCGACAGAAGAAGCACCGGCUAACUCCGUGCCAGCAGCCGCGGUAAUACGGAGGGUGCGAGCGUUAAUCGGAAUUACUGGGCGUAAAGGGCACGCAGGCGGUUAAUUAAGUUGGAUGUGAAAUCCCCGGGCUUAACCUGGGAAUGGCAUUCAAGACUGGUUAGCUAGAGUCUUGUAGAGGGGGUAGAAUUCCAUGUGUAGCGGUGAAAUGCGUAGAGAUGUGGAGGAAUACCGGUGGCGAAGGCGGCCCCUGGACAAGACUGACGCUCAUGUGCGAAAGCGUGGGGAGCGAAACAGGAUUAGAUAC